rnacentral:rRNA from 1 species
UAAGCCUGUGAAGGUGUGUCGUGAGGCAUGCUGGAGGUAUCAGAAGUGCGAAUGCUGACAUAAGUAACGAUAAAGCGGGUGAAAAGCCCGCUCGCCGGAAGACCAAGGGUUCCUGUCCAACGUUAAUCGGGGCAGGGUGAGUCGACCCCUAAGGCGAGGCCGAAAGGCGUAGUCGAUGGGAAACGGGUUAAUAUUCCCGUACUUGGUGUUACUGCGAAGGGGGGACGGAGAAGGCUAUGUUGGCCGGGCGACGGUUGUCCCGGUUUAAGCGUGUAGGUGUGUGUUCCAGGUAAAUCCGGUUCACUUUAACACUGAGGCGUGACGACGAGGCACUACGGUGCUGAAGCAACAAAUGCCCUGCUUCCAGGAAAAGCCUCUAAGCAUCAGGUAACACGAAAUCGUACCCCAAACCGACACAGGUGGUCAGGUAGAGAAUACCAAGGCGCUUGAGAGAACUCGGGUGAAGGAACUAGGCAAAAUGGUGCCGUAACUUCGGGAGAAGGCACGCUGACACGUAGGUGAAGUGAUUUACUCACGGAGCUGAAGUCAGUCGAAGAUACCAGCUGGCUGCAACUGUUUAUUAAAAACACAGCACUGUGCAAACACGAAAGUGGACGUAUACGGUGUGACGCCUGCCCGGUGCCGGAAGGUUAAUUGAUGGGGUCAGCGCAAGCGAAGCUCCUGAUCGAAGCCCCGGUAAACGGCGGCCGUAACUAUAACGGUCCUAAGGUAGCGAAAUUCCUUGUCGGGUAAGUUCCGACCUGCACGAAUGGCGUAAUGAUGGCCAGGCUGUCUCCACCCGAGACUCAGUGAAAUUGAACUCGCUGUGAAGAUGCAGUGUACCCGCGGCAAGACGGAAAGACCCCGUGAACCUUUACUAUAGCUUGACACUGAACAUUGAGCCUUGAUGUGUAGGAUAGGUGGGAGGCUUUGAAGUGUGGACGCCAGUCUGCAUGGAGCCGACCUUGAAAUACCACCCUUUAAUGUUUGAUGUUCUAACGUGGACCCGUAAUCCGGGUUGCGGACAGUGUCUGGUGGGUAGUUUGACUGGGGCGGUCUCCUCCUAAAGAGUAACGGAGGAGCACGAAGGUUGGCUAAUCCUGGUCGGACAUCAGGAGGUUAGUGCAAUGGCAUAAGCCAGCUUGACUGCGAGCGUGACGGCGCGAGCAGGUGCGAAAGCAGGUCAUAGUGAUCCGGUGGUUCUGAAUGGAAGGGCCAUCGCUCAACGGAUAAAAGGUACUCCGGGGAUAACAGGCUGAUACCGCCCAAGAGUUCAUAUCGACGGCGGUGUUUGGCACCUCGAUGUCGGCUCAUCACAUCCUGGGGCUGAAGUAGGUCCCAAGGGUAUGGCUGUUCGCCAUUUAAAGUGGUACGCGAGCUGGGUUUAGAACGUCGUGAGACAGUUCGGUCCCUAUCUGCCGUGGGCGCUGGAGAACUGAGGGGGGCUGCUCCUAGUACGAGAGGACCGGAGUGGACGCAUCACUGGUGUUCGGGUUGUCAUGCCAAUGGCACUGCCCGGUAGCUAAAUGCGGAAGAGAUAAGUGCUGAAAGCAUCUAAGCACGAAACUUGCCCCGA